AAUAAAUGUUUACGGUACACCGACUUUGAUUCUCUGAAGCUGCUCCCAAGGAGGGUUCCUAGCAAGGCAGGGGGCCCACUUGAUGUAGAUUGAUGCAUCUUUCUCACAAUCAGGUGCUUAUCCAAAAUCAUUAAUUCCAUCAGACUCCGACAGCUCUACAAUGGAUGUAAAGCCCAGGAAUGUCAUCAACAUCUGCAUAACUGGGGAUUCAAUACAUCAAUCUGGUGGAUAAUGUUCUCCUCUAGUAUCCCAGGACUUUGCAUCACAAUACCAAGAACACGGCGUACAAGUCCAUCAUAGACAACUUUGUUGAUGCUACCAUCUCCAUUUAUCCAUGGUAAUAUAGGCACACGUAAUUCCUUUGAGGANNNNNNNNNACACGUUUCACCAUCAUUAUUUUGUCCCGGCAAAAUUACUUUUUCUUGCAAGCUGCCUUCAUGGACAUUGCUUCUUUGGGUUUCAAUGGAGGGAACAGACUCUUCAGGAAGAUUAAGAAUUGUAACUUUGUGCACAUGAUGAUUCCUCAUGAUGGCUUCUUUCUGUGAACUAGAGCCAACUACAUCAUAACCUUCACAAUGGGAGAUUGAAUGACCAUUCUCACUUCUCUGUAAGGACUUGGUUACUAACGGUGGAUCAAGAUCUUGAUGGAGACCCACCAGUGAGGUCAAAAAGUACUUGGAAUGAUAUAAAGCAUUAACAACAUGAACAGUGUCAUAGGCAUUGACCUUCAAC
rnacentral:misc_RNA from 1 species